GCAUUCUUGGUGUAAUGGUAACAUUUCAGCCUUCCAUUAUUCGAUAGCUGAAGCCGUGGGUUCGAUUCCCGCAGAAUGCA
rnacentral:tRNA from 1 species